AAAAAAAAAAAAAAACCAUGCAUCUCACCUGCAUAUUAUUAAGUGUUGAGAAUAUAAGCCCUAAACCUAACUUGAAAAAUCCAGAAGAUGACAACCCUAGCCAGAAGAGCCUUCUGUUACAGGAACAAACUCAGGUGACUAACCUUCAGUCAAAACAAGUAGUCUAUGGAAAAAAUGUGCAUCUUUGAUUUGGAUGGGGACACACCCACAGGCCACAACCUUACCUGGCAAGUUGAGCUGAUUAAUUCUGACCACUUUUUGGUCGUUGGCGUGGUCUUGAUCAAGCUAAUAACGGAGCUGACAACGAAGUUGUCCAGGAGAAAACUAAUAAAAAGUUGAUAAUUGAAGCAAUCCGGCGGCUUGAAUUGAAGCGCUUUUGUACUUACUAGGCGUUUUUCCGAUUAUAUUUGUUAGAAUCAGAUAAAUUAAAAAUCGAUUACGUUUGUACGUUGUUGUACAUUCACUUUGAACUGAGUACCUAUAAAUGUUUUUUCAAGAAGC